rnacentral:rRNA from 1 species
ACACGACUACAUUAGAUACCCGUGUAGUCCUAGCCGUAAACGAUACUCGCUAGGUGUCGGCCACGGUGCGACCGUUGUCGGUGCCGUAGGGAAGCCGUGAAGCGAGCCACCUGGGAAGUACGGCCGUAAGGCUGAAACUUAAAGGAAUUGGCGGGGGAGCACAACAACGGGUGGAGCUUGCGGUUUAAUUGGAUUCAACGCCGGAAAUCUUACCGGGACCGACAGCAACAUGAAGGCCAAGCUGAAGACUUUGCCGGAUUAGCUG